rnacentral:rRNA from 1 species
UACGGGGGGGGCAAGCGUUGUUCGGAAUUACUGGGCGUAAAGGGCGCGUAGGCGGUUCGCUAAGUCGGAUGUGAAAACUCUGGGCUCAACCUAGAGACUGCAUCCGAAACUGACGGGCUAGAGUUCUGGAGGGGGUAGCGGAAUUCCUGGUGUAGCGGUGAAAUGCGCAGAUAUCAGGAGGAACACCAAUUGCGAAGGCAGCUCGCUGGGACGUUACUGACGCUGAGACGCGAAAGCGUGGGGAGCAAACAGG